rnacentral:rRNA from 1 species
GAUGAACGCUGGCGGCGUGCCUAAUACAUGCAAGUCGAGCGAAUGAUGAGGAGCUUGCUCCUCUGAUUUAGCGGCGGACGGGUGAGUAACACGUGGGUAACCUGCCUGUAAGAUGGGGAUAACUCCGGGAAACCGGGGCUAAUACCGAAUAAUAAAAGAAGAAGCAUUUCUUCUUUUUGAAAGUUGGUUUCGGCUAACACUUACAGAUGGGCCCGCGGCGCAUUAGCUAGUUGGUGAGGUAACGGUUCACCAAGGCGACGAAGCGUAGCCGACCUGGGAGGGUGAUCGGCAACACUGGGACUGGGACACGGCCCAGACUCCUACGGGAGGCAGCAGUAGGGAAUCUUCGGCAAUGGGCGAAAGCCUGACCGAGCAACGCCGCGUGAGCGAGGAAGGCCUUCGGGUCGUAAAGCUCUGUUGUCAGGGAAGAACAAGUACGAGAGUAACUGCUCGUACCUUGACGGUACCUGACCAGAAAGCCACGGCUAACUACGUGCCAGCCGCCGCGGUAAUAC